GACGAACGCUGGCGGCGUGCUUAACACAUGCAAGUCGAACGGAAAGGCCCUGCUUUUGUGGGUUGCUCGAGUGGCGAACGGGUGAGUAACACGUGAGUAACCUGCCCUUGACUUUGGGAUAACUUCAGGAAACUGGGGCUAAUACCGGAUAGGAGCUCCUGCUGCAUGGUGGGGGUUGGAAAGUUUCGGCGGUUGGGGGUGGACUCGCGGCUUAUCAGCUUGUUGGUGGGGGAGUGGCUUACCAAGGCUUUGACGGGUCGCCGGACUGAGAGGGUGACCGGCCACUUUGGGACUGAGAUACGGCCCAGACUCCUACGGGAGGCAGCAGUGGGGAAUAUUGCACAAUGGGCGGAAGCCUGAUGCAGCAACGCCGCGUGCGGGAUGACGGCCUUCGGGUUGUAAACCGCUUUCGCCUGUGACGAAGCGUGAGUGACGGUAAUGGGUAAAGAAGCACCGGCUAACUACGUG
rnacentral:rRNA from 1 species